rnacentral:snRNA from 1 species
GUUCUUGCUUCGGCAGCACAUAUACUAAAAUUGGAAUGAUACACAGAGAAGAUUAAGAUAACCCCUAUGGAUGAAAUAGAGUUACAAAAAUACUGAAUGAAAUGA